AGUGGGAUAGCUGGGUCGAAUGGUGAUUACAUUCCAAAUUUUCUUAAGAAUCUCCAUACUGUUUUCCAUAGUGGUUGCACCAAUUUGCAGUCCUACCAGCAAU
rnacentral:pre_miRNA from 1 species